rnacentral:rRNA from 1 species
UACGAAGGGGGCUAGCGUUGUUCGGAAUCACUGGGCGUAAAGGGCGCGUAGGCGGCUGUUCAAGUCGGGGGUGAAAGCCUGUGGCUCAACCACAGAAUUGCCUUCGAUACUGGACGGCUCGAGACCGGAAGAGGUCAGUGGAACUGCGAGUGUAGAGGUGAAAUUCGUAGAUAGUUCGCAAGAACACCAGUGGCGAAGGCGGCUGACUGGUCCGGUUC